UUAUUAGCCUCAGUGAAGAAGUUAUUGUUCUCAUACCUACAUCGAACAUGUUUAAGAAGAAUUAGUUAUAUGGCAACCAAACAAAAUCCAUGGAUAACCACUACUUGGCAUUGCGACCGAAAUUUGCAGUAGAAAAACCAGUUGCGAAUUUAGUGAUAGAUUUGCGACGAGAAUCACAUUAGUCACAAAAUAGACGCAAAGUUCGCAACUGUUUAAAUCCUGUCGUAUAUCAGUCACACAAUUUGAAAAAAAAAAUAAAUGAAAACAAAAAUAACCUUCGGGCACAAAUUAAAUUACACACCGAGGAUUUUGCUAGUACAGGGUGGAUAUAUCUUAGAACAAGAGGUCGUAGUGUAAAUUUUUUGAAAAUUGUACUUUUUUUUCGAUUUUGCUGCCCCUAUAGAAAUUCUUUUUGAAACAUUACCCCCAUAAUUAUUUUCAAGAUCCGCCACUGGCACGUAACAAACCUAUUGACAGAUUCGCGACUGAUAUCACAUCACAUCAGUCGUUAGCUACCGCUAUUAGUAUGGUAACGAAACUACCGCAAGAUUUACGAUCCUUUAAAUUCAGUGGUAAAUCAGUUGCAAAAACUUGAAAAAAUAACCUUUGGGCGCAAAUGAAUUUACCAGAAGUUUUUGCCACCACAAUUUCAGUCGCUAAAGGCUUUUUUUCAUGAUUUGCGACCGAAAUUGCUGUCGCAAAUACUCAGUUUUCUAAUAGCAAAUCAAGCAAGAAGGUAUGCACCUGAGAUCGCAAUCACUAUAAAUAGCAUGAGCACCAUUUCCAAGCCCACAUACUUUCAGCUGAUCAACAGCGUAGUCAAAACAAGACAGACAAUCAGGAACAGAAACAUAUCCCCUGCACCAAGCAAGGCCCCAAACUGACUCACCGUUGAGCAAGGUCCUUGCCGCGGCAUAGCCGCUGGUGGUUAACUGUUUACGGAGGUUAGAUGUUGGGUGGUAUUAAGGUUCCUCAAGAAAUAAGUUGCGCUCACACCUUUGUACAUACUACAAUAAUAUCUCAUCAGAGUGCUAUUUCUAUCAGCUGCCCGCUGUGAUGUCACUGGCUCGGCCAUGGUUGUUAGAACCACCACAACCACCAGCA
rnacentral:lncRNA from 1 species